UUACCCGCUGAAUUUAAGCAUAUCAGUAAGCGAGGAAAAGAAACUAACCAGGAUUCCUCUAGUAACGGCGAGUGAACGGGGAUUAGCCCAUCACCGAAGCCCGUGUGUUUUUGCAUACAGGGCAAAUGUGGUGUUAAGGCUUGCACCUGGGACUGUGAACUCACCAAAAGUCCAGCUCCGAUUCUGGCUUAUUGUUGUCCAAAGCGGGUGAAAGACCCGUGAUGGUGGGUUAUGUAGUUUAUCGCAGUCCUCAGAUGUGCUUGCCUUCGAGUCGGAUUGCUUGAGAAUGCAGUCCAAAGUGGGUGGUAAACUCCAUCCAAGGCUAAAUACUGGCAUGAGUCCGAUAGUAGACAAGUACCGUGAGGGAAAGUUGAAAAGUACUCUGAAGAGAGAGUAAAUAGUACGUGAAGCCGAUUGCAGGGAAGCUGGUGGAGUCAAGCUUCAUGCUUGAGGAAUUCUUGUCAUGAGUUUAUUGUGGAUUUACAUGUGAUCAGUCAGCUUGGAAUAAGUUGGGUACAUUCGUGUGCUUCAAGUCAUUCUGGGUAGUGUGUUUGAAGCUGAUCAUUAUGUGUUGCUCAUGAUAAUCUAUUCUUCGUGGCAUAAAUCACAGUCGAUAUUGUUGCGCCCGAUGAUUGUCUAACUGUGCUUCGGUAGGCCUUGUGCUUACCGGGUGCAGAAUGGGAGGUACGGCCAUUAGCCUUGUGUUGAUGUGUCUACGAAAAUGAGCCGACUUUCAUCUGUGGUGUCUUCGGUAUCGUGAUUGCAUGGUGCUUCGUCUUUGGACCUGGCAUUAGUUAGAACUGUGAUUCUGAGGUAGAUGUUCCACCCGACCCGUCUUGAAACACGGACCAAGGAGUUUAACAUGCUCGCAAGUCACUGGGAUGAUUACGAAACCCAAAGGCGCAAUGAAAGUGAAAGGCUUUCAGUCCUAGGUGUGAUCUUAGCUCUCCUUCAUGUGGUGGCUAGGCGCAGCACCGGCCCGUCUCAAAAUGUUGUCAUGCCUGCCACGGUGGGUGUGUGAGCAUUAGAGCCAUCGCAGGAGGGAGCGACCCUUGCG
rnacentral:rRNA from 1 species